rnacentral:rRNA from 1 species
GAUGAACGCUGGCGGCGUGCUUAACACAUGCAAGUCGAACGAGAAAUGGAGACGGAAACCUUCGGGCGGAAGGCUUCAUUUCGAGUGGCGGACGGGUGAGUAACGCGUGGGUAACCUGCCUCAUACAGGGGGAUAACAGUUGGAAACGACUGUUAAUACCGCAUCAGACCACAGCACCGCAUGGUGCGGGGGUAAAAACUCCGGUGGUAUGAGAUGGACCCGCGUUCGAUUAGCCAGUUGGCGGGGUAACGGCCCACCAAAGCGACGAUCGAUAGCCGAUCUGAGAGGAUGACCGGCCACAUUGGGACUGGGACACGGCCCAAACUCCUACGGGAGGCAGCAGUGGGGAAUAUUGCACAAUGGGGGAAACCCUGAUGCAGCGACGCCGCGUGAGUGAAGAAGUACUUCGGUAUGUAAAGCUCUAUCAGCAGGGAAGAAAAUGACGGUACCUGAGUAAGAAGCCCCGGCUAACUACGUG